rnacentral:rRNA from 1 species
AGCAUAUCAAUAAGUGGAGGAAAAGAAACUAACAAGGAUUCCCCUAGUAACGGCGAGUGAAGCGGGAAGAGCUCAAAUUUAAAAUCUGGCAGGCUACGCUUGUCCGAAUUGUAAUCUCGAGAAGUGUUUUCCGCGUUGGCCUGUGUACAAGUCCCUUGGAACAGGGCGUCAUAGAGGGUGAGAAUCCCGUCCUUGACACAGACACCCAAUGCUUUGUGAUACACUCUCAAUGAGUCGAGUUGUUUGGGAAUGCAGCUCAAAAUGGGUGGUAAAUUCCAUCUAAAGCUAAAUACUGGCGAGAGACCGAUAGCGAACAAGUACCGUGAGGGAAAGAUGAAAAGCACUUUGGAAAGAGAGUCAAACAGUACGUGAAAUUGUUGAAAGGGAAACGAUUGAAGUCAGUCGUGCCUGCCUAGUCUCAGCCUUUUGGUGUACUACUAGGUCGGCAGGUCAGCAUCAGUUUGGGAGGAUUAACAAGGGAGCUAGGAAUGUGGCAACCUCGGUUGUGUUAUAGCCUAGUUUCGCAUUGAUCUUGCUGGACUGAGGAACGCAGUGCGCCCGCAAGGGUUGGUCUUCGGACACAUCGC